rnacentral:rRNA from 1 species
AGUGAACGCUGGCGGUAGGCCUAACACAUGCAAGUCGAACGGCAGCACAGUAAGAGCUUGCUCUUACGGGUGGCGAGUGGCGGACGGGUGAGGAAUACAUCGGAAUCUACUUUUUCGUGGGGGAUAACGUAGGGAAACUUACGCUAAUACAGCAUACGACCUACGGGUGAAAGAAGGGGAUCUUCGGACCUUGCGCGAUUGAAUGAGCCGGUGUCGGAGUAGCUAGUUGGCGGGGUAAAGGCCCACCAAGGCGACGAUCCGUAGCUGGUCUGAGAGGCUGAUCAGCCACACUGGAACUGAGACACGGUCCAGACUCCUACGGGAGGCAGCAGUGGGGAAUAUUGGACAAAGGGCGCAAGCCUGAUCCAGCCAUACCGCGUGGGUGAAGAAGGCCUUCGGGUUGUAAAGCCCUUUUUUUGGGAAAGAAAAGCAGCAGGUUAAUACCCCGCUGUUCUGACGGUACCCAAAGAAUAAGCACCGGCUAACUUCGUG